GGUGGGCAGGUAAACUGGGGGUAACGGCGGGUACUCACCCUGACCCGGCUUGAACUGCUCGAACAGCUGACCUUCCAAUCUGCAGGAUUUUUCUGCAACACAGCAGUUUAGCCAGCACACCCUUGGUGAGCUGCUUCCAAAGAAUUCAAUUUCCAUGAUGAAGCCAGGUGAAGCGAGGUGCUUAGCCUGGCUAAUAUGAUGCGGCCCCUGAUCUACUUCCCAUUCACCAACUAAGAAGUGUGUGAGAGAGGGCAGUGAAGAAGAACAGCACUUUUUACCAAAGAAGAGGCGGGGAAGGAGAGAGAAAUUCACAUCCACCCACACUCAUGAGGGGA